rnacentral:tRNA from 1 species
GCUGGUAUAGCUCAGUAGGUAGAGUGCGUCCUUGGUAAGGACGAGGUCAUCGGUCCGAAUCCGAUUACCAGCUCCA